UACACACCGCCCGUCGCUACUACCGAUUGAAUGGCUGAGUGAGGCCUUCGGACUGGCCCAGGGAGGUCGGCAACGACCACCCAGGGCCGGAAAGUUGGUCAAACUCCGUCAUUUAGAGGAAGUAAAAGUCGUAACAAGGUUUCCGUAGGUGAACCUGCGGAAGGAUCAUUAAAGAGUAAGGGUGCUCAGCGCCCGACCUCCAACCCUUUGUUGUUAAAACUACCUUGUUGCUUUGGCGGGACCGCUCGGUCUCGAGCCGCUGGGGAUUCGUCCCAGGCGAGCGCCCGCCAGAGUUAAACCAAACUCUUGUUAUUAAACCGGUCGUCUGAGUUAAAAUUUUGAAUAAAUCAAAACUUUCAACAACGGAUCUCUUGGUUCUCGCAUCGAUGAAGAACGCAGCGAAAUGCGAUAAGUAAUGUGAAUUGCAGAAUUCAGUGAAUCAUCGAAUCUUUGAACGCACAUUGCGCCCCUUGGUAUUCCGAGGGGCAUGCCUGUUCGAGGCUCAUUACACCACUCAAGCUAUGCUUGGUAUUGGGUGCCGUCCUUAGUUGGGCGCGCCUUAAAGACCUCGGCGAGGCCACUCCGGCUUUAGGCGUAGUAGAAUUUAUUCGAACGUCUGUCAAAGGAGAGGAACUCUGCCGAUUGAAACCUUUAUUUUUCUAGGUUGACCUCGGAUCAGGUAGGGAUACCCGCUGAACUUAAGCAUAUCAAUAAGCGGAGGA
rnacentral:rRNA from 1 species